UUUGCUGCUUUCACCUGAUGGUCAGUUUAGUGGAACCUGGCAAAUUCAGCAAGAAGACAAGGAAAUUCAAUUUAAUUUAAAUUACCACAUUUGGUGGAUUAGGAACGAUGUGAGAAACAGGAAAAAUCAGGGCAAUGUGUCAUUCAGUGUUGAUUUAUUUUGACCAGGAAUGUUUAAUUUCAAUUAUUCAUUGUAGACUUUUGUAGGAAGCCGGCUAAUGUGUUCCAGGAAGCUGUGUUAAGGGAACACAUGAAGCAAACGGCAGCUUGUGAGCUCACAGUCCUCUGCACAAAACCCUUCCCUGAGGGAAAGCAGAGUCACUUUGCAGUCAGGCCACAGUUUAGUUUCCACAGACUGAUGCCACCUAGUGGCGACACCAAAGCCUGGACAAGGAUAUCACCUUUCCACCUUUCACCUUUCACCUUUCACCCAGCAAGGUGGGGUUUAAGUCUCAAUAAAACUCAAAAAUUCCCCAAACAGCGUUUCUGUCUUUCAGGUUAUAAUAUGCAUUACCAUGUAUUAUUCUUAUUUUUAUCUCCAAUGUGUUUGCAUAUCUUUAGAAAGAAGUAAGUUCCCUUCCUUACGAGGCUGUUCCAUUUUUUUCUCGACAGAGAAAACAAAACAGAAAAAUUCUUUUUUUUUUUUUUUUUUAAAUUUUUUUUUCAACAUUUAUUUAUUUUUUUGGGACAGAGAGAGACAGAGCAUGAACGGGGGAGGGGCAGAGAGAGAGGGAGACACAGAAUCGGAAACAGGCCCCAGGCUCUGAGCUGUCAGCCCAGAGCCUGACGCGGGGCCCGAACUCACGGACCACGAGAUCGUGACCUGGCUGAAGUCGGACGCUUAACCGACUGCGCCACCCAGGCGCCCCAAAACAGAAAAAUUCUUAUUGUGUAAAUCCGAAGAGCUAGAUUGCACCGUGUCACUUUCAAAACAGCCCUGAAAGGUACAUGUUCCUCUCCCUAUUUUGUGGCUGAAGAGAUGGGAAGUGUCCUUAGAAGUGUCUCAGUCAAUGUCACAUAACCAUCCCCCCCA
rnacentral:lncRNA from 1 species